rnacentral:rRNA from 1 species
GACGAACGCUGGCGGCGUGCCUAACACAUGCAAGUCGAACGAGGUCCAAGGGAGCUUGCUCCCUGACGACCUAGUGGCGAACGGGUGAGUAACACGUGAGAAACCUGCCUCGGAGUGGGGAAUAACUCGGGGAAACCCGAGCUAAUACCGCAUACCUUCACAUGAUCGCAUGGUCGAGUGAAGAAAGAACUUCGCUCUGAGAGGGUCUCGCGGCCUAUCAGCUAGUUGGUGGGGUAACGGCCUACCAAGGCAACGACGGGUAGCUGGUUUGAGAGAACGAUCAGCCACACUGGGACUGAGACACGGCCCAGACUCCUACGGGAGGCAGCAGUGGGGAAUCUUGCGCAAUGGGCGAAAGCCUGACGCAGCAACGCCGCGUGCGGGAUGACGGCCUUCGUGGUUGUAAACCGCUUUCAGCAGGGACGAAAUUGACGGUACCUGCAGAAGAAGCCCCGGCUAACUACGUGCCAGCAGCCGCCGUAA